rnacentral:rRNA from 1 species
UACGUAGGCAGCGAGCGUUGUUCGGAGUUACUGGGCGUAAAGGGUGUGUAGGCGGUUGUUUAAGUUUGGUGUGAAAUCUCCUGGCUCAACUGGGAGGGUGCGCCGAAUACUGAAUGACUUGGAGUGCGGGAGAGGAAAGUGGAAUUCCUGGUGUAGCGGUGAAAUGCGUAGAUAUCAGGAGGAACACCGGUGGUGUAGACGGCUUUCUGGACCGUAACUGACGCUGAGACACGAAAGCGUGGGUAGCAAACAGG